UCGGGAAUAUUGCGCAAUGGAGGAAACUCUGACGCAGUGACGCCGCGUGCAGGAAGAAGGUUUUCGGAUUGUAAACUGCUUUAGACAGGGAAGAAACAAGACAGUACCUGUAGAAUAAGCUCCGGCUAACUACGUGCCAGCAGCCGCGGUAAUACGUAGGGAGCAAGCGUUAUCCGGAUUUAUUGGGUGUAAAGGGUGCGUAGACGGGAAAUCAAGUUGGUUGUGAAAUCCCUCGGCUUAACUGAGAAACUGCAACCAAAACUAAUUUUCUUGAGUGCUGGAGAGGAAAGUGGAAUUCCUAGUGUAGCGGUGAAAUGCGUAGAUAUUAGGAGGAACACCAGUGGCGAAGGCGACUUUCUGGACAGUAACUGACGUUGAGGCACGAAAGUGUGGGGAGCAAACA
rnacentral:rRNA from 1 species